rnacentral:rRNA from 1 species
AGUAACACGUGAUUAACCUACCUUCGAGUGGGGAAUAACUUCGGGAAACCGAAGCUAAUACCGCAUAACAUCCCAAGGACGAGAAGCCCAGGGAUCAAAGGAGCAAUUCGCUUGAAGAGGGGGUCGCGGCUGAUUAGCUAGUUGGCGGGGUAAUGGCCCACCAAGGCGAUGAUCAGUAGCCGGCCUGAGAGGAUGAUCAGCCACACUGGGACUGAGACACGGCCCAG